AGAGCGAACGCUGGCGGCAGGCCUAACACAUGCAAGUCGAACGGACCCUUCGGGGUUAGUGGCGGACGGGUGAGUAACACGUGGGAACGUGCCUUUAGGUUCGGAAUAGCUCCUGGAAACGGGUGGUAAUGCCGAAUGUGCCCUUCGGGGGAAAGAUUUAUCGCCUUUAGAGCGGCCCGCGUCUGAUUAGCUUGUUGGUGAGGUAAUGGCUCACCAAGGCUACGAUCAGUAGCUGGUCUGAGAGGAUGACCAGCCACAUUGGGACUGAGACACGGCCCAAACUCCUACGGGAGGCAGCAGGUGGGAAUCUUGCGCAAUGGGCGAAAGCCUGACGCAGUCCAUGCCGCGUGUAUGAUGAAGGUCUAGGUAUUAGUAAAUCUUUCACGGUGAAGAUAAUGACUGUAGCCGAGAACGACGCCCGGAUAACGUCGUGCCAGCAGCCGAC
rnacentral:rRNA from 1 species